AUGCAACUUUUUUUUAAAAAAAUAAUGUUCUCCUGUGUAUUAAUUUUGAGUAUUAUUAAUGUCUUCUUUAAUAUAUUUUAUCAACUUAUAUAGAAUCAAAUAUAUUUUAUAUUAUGUUAUGUAUAAUUAACGAAUGACACCUUAUGACAUGGAGCAACUUCAGCUUAUCGAAGACAUGAUCUUAGAUAGAAAGUUGUGGAGGAGGCGGAUUAGGGUAGAAGGUUAGUACAAGUUUAGGUUGUUGUUUCUUUUGUUGUAUUACUUGGUGUCUCUUGAUUAUGGUAUUAGCGGAUAUUGUUGAUUUCGAUUGUAUCUUGUUCUCUUACUAUUCUUUGUACAGAUUAUUUUAUUGUGAGCCGGGGGUCUGUCGGAAACAAUCUUUUUAUCUUACAUCUGAGAUAGUGAUACGGACUGCGUACAUUUAUCCUCUCUAUACUCCACUUGGUGGAAAUAUACUGGCUCAAUUCCAAGAUCAACAACACUGUUUGGAUCUUCAAAUUUGUUAGCGAAUUUGGUGAAUUUGGUGUUCAAAUGGAAAGACUGAUCAAUAAUAUCUUGUAUGGCCCCUCACUUCAUCCAUUUUCAUAAGCAAUAAAGAGAUGAUACUUAAUGGAUCUUUUCUGUUCUUGAAUUUAGAGUCAAAAGUUUCGUAGAUGGGGAAUAAAUAUAUAUUUUUAACUAACAUCAAUAUAGGUCUAUUGAUACAAGCCGAAUUGACUCCACUUUUUUGGGGUCUAUGCUUCAAGGAUCACACGUAAGGAUCCAAGACUUGAUCGUUCUAGGGAGCAUAUACGUGAUUGGAGGAUAGCUUGAGAAGGAGCUACAUUUGAUGAUGUCAUUCGAGGGAGUAAGGAUCACAUUUGGAUAAUAGCUUGGACCUCAAAGAGCUUAGAAAUGUGACUAUUUGGACUUUUGGGUCACUUUUGAGCCCAUAAUCGUGAAUAUUUGAUUUUUGGAUCACUUUUGGACCCAAUUAGCAUUUAGGGCCACUUUUGAGCCCAGUUGUAAUAAAUGGCCUUGGCCAAUAAAUAGCUAGGACUCUUUUCAUUUUUAGGAAGAUGAUUUUGAAUGAAUGUAUACACUUGAGAGUGU